rnacentral:rRNA from 1 species
CCUACGGGGCGCAGCAGUGGGGAAUAUUGGGCAAUGGGCGCAAGCCUGACCCAGCAACGCCGCGUGAAGGAAGAAGGCUUUCGGGUUGUAAACUUCUUUUAAGAGGGGAGAGCAGAAGACGGUACCUCUUGAAUAAGCCACGGCUAACUACGUGCCAGCAGCCGCGGUAAUACGUAGGGGGCAAGCGUUAUCCGGAAUCACUGGGUGUAAAGGGAGCGUAGACGGCUGUGCAAGCCUGAAGUGAAAGGCGGGGGCCCAACCCCUGGACUGCUUUGGGAACUGUACGGCUGGAGUGCAGGGGAGGG